rnacentral:lncRNA from 1 species
UUUCUGUUGCGGCUUCAAUGUUCUUUGCUCAUCAAGCAGUCUUUUCCUUUGAUCUCACUUCUGUGUGGGUGUUUGUAUGCAUAUAUUUUUUUUGUGUACGUUAAGUUUGAGGUUUUUACAAUACGGAUCUUCUGUUGUACACCACACAAUAUGAUGCACAACACGUCCUGUCCAUCAUGCGAUGGACGACUGCACACAAUGGGUGUGCAUCUGC